rnacentral:tRNA from 1 species
GACCAUGUGGCCUAAUGGAUAAGCGUCUGACUUCGGAUCAGAAGAUUGAGGGUUCGAGUCCCUUCGUGGUUG